GACAGAACAUCUGCCAUAUCCGCAACGCCUGGGACUGAAAACAAAGGCUACAGUAGAAGCCGGGUCUCCCAACCUGUCUAUGAGGUUCCUGGCCUGCUUGAGUUCCUGCCCUCACUGCCUUUGAAGAGGAACUGUGAUGUGGAACUGUGAGUGAAAUGAACCCUUUGCUCCCAGGUUGUUUUUGAUCAUUGUGUUUCGUCUAAGCAAUAGAAACCACAACUAAGCCAGGGUUCCUCUGUGUAGCCCAGGCUGUCCUUGAACUCAAGAGAUCUGUCUUCGUCUGCCUUCCAAGUGCAGAAACUAAAGGUAUGCACCACUGUACCUGGCUCAAGGUAGGUAUUUUCUUGAAAAAAACAAAGUUACAAAGACUUUCUCACAUGACUUACACAACAGCAGUUUGAAUGUGCAAGUAAUAAUCCUAACAAGAAGACAACUAACGAGCUUGCUUUCACAUACCAUUUUCCAGCAGCACACACGGUAGUUGUGGCUUAGGGAAAGCCUUAUCUUGGCACAAUGUUGAAGAAUUCUGGAAAUAUGAAAAAUAUUCCCUAAGUGUUUGUAAAUAAUGACAUUUUCCAGUAUUUCCAAACACCUGGUUCUGUGGUACAAUGUUUUAGCAACAUCCUGAAUGCCAUAUUAUAGUUUAGAUGACUAUGGCAACUCCCAGGAAGGUGACUUACUGUCACCGCCUUCUGCCCUCAACGUAGCCAGCUAAGACUCCUCCUCGGCCUUUUAACAACGAAGGAAUGCUAUGGAUAAUUCUCAGGUGCUCUUUUAAAACUGUUUACUUAGUUGUGUGUGUGCACCGCUGUGUGCGAGUGUGCAGGUGCAUGUGUAAAGGUCCGAGGAAACUCCAUGGCUUUAGUUGUCUCUUUCCAUCUUUAUGUGGCUUCAGCAGGUCAAACUCAGGCUACUCGGCCUACACAGCAAGUGCCUCCUUCCUGCUUCUCAGAUAUCCUAAAGAGGUGACAGAGUCACAUGCCCAAGGCUUUGGUGUAGUCUAAAGAUGGCAAAAAACACAGUCAACUAUGUGUAGGAAAUGAAACAGUAAUUUCUGAGCCUGCUAAUUGAUUUGGAUAUUGUUUACAAAUAAUUUCAUAAAAACAAAUUAUUAAAUUCAUUAUUGUGCUUUCUUAAUCAAAAGAAUUUUUAAAAAGGUGAAAUAGAGAACCAAUCUACUCUUAAUCUCUAGUACACUCAUAAAACUUCAUUACUCUGAAAAUAAGAAAGUGGGAAAAUUGCAAAUGUCCCCUCAAAUCGUCACCUUGACUGUAGCGACCAUAAGGGACACUAUACUUAUCCAGAGAACGGCACUUUAGUCCCUCUCAGGACCUGCUUACUUACUAUAUGGAGUUUCUCCAUAAAUUUCAUAGCCAGAAAUGCUCUUGUAAUGACACAGAAAUUUUUUUAAAUUGUGAGACUAGAAAACUUGUCAGAUUUGUAGCAAAGACACAUAUUCCCAUUGCACCAGUCUUAAUCCUACCCUUAAUCAGAGGAAACACAUCAAGACAUUCAGAUGUACGAGAUGAGUAUCAUAACUCACCUGGUUGCCUGUUUAAUCAGAGAACGCACAGAGAAGAAAUUUCCUGGUCUGUCUGGAGGAAGGUUAUUUACAGAGUAAGUUUUCUCUUCUCUCUGAAAGUUUAAAACAAACAAACAAAAUCUCAAUAAAUCUGACCCUCGUUAUUUAACUUUUUCCUUGAGGUAUGUAUACAUGCACCCAUAACUGUUUGUAUUAUGUUAAUCUGGGUCCCCAAGACCCGGAUUUACUCGAGAAUCCGACACUGAGGGACCCUGGCCCCUGUUGGUUCUGAUUGGAAAAUAAGGUUGCUGGCAGCCAAUGGCUAGGCAGGGCAGACAGAGACAUGACUUUUAGGAUGUUCGGCCAGGUGAGGGACUGAUUCUCCUGUCUGGCUCUUAUCUCCCAGUAAGGACUGUGGUCUCUAAGAGGUCGCAAAAGCUGAGGCUGGCCCCUUCUACCUGUCCUAGCCUACAGCUGUGGUAAGAUGCCCUGGCAGGAUUUGUCAAAAAUGGCAACUCCUGUCUAAAUGGCAGCACAGCCACAUCUCCUCAGCCUGCAGCCUUCACAGGGGCAUCUCAUUUCCUGCUCAGCAGGAGCUGCCCCUUACAAAGCUGUCCAAGGUGGCAACACAUCCUUCCCCAUACCCCCAGCCCCCAGCAGCCCCACAGAGAUGGUGCCCCAGCAAAACCAGGCUGCAGUCAGGAAAGACUUCCCACCCGAAUCCAUGGGCCGGAUGCAGGGAAAGGGAAAAAACACCCACCAAUCCCUGAGCUCCACAAGCUCAGGCCUUGAAAUCCCACCAAUCCUCAAAUUGGAAAUGUCUGCUUCAAAAGCUCCAGCCCCUAAGAAAUCCUAUAUAAGCACUGCCCUUUGUUCAGUUCCCCCGCUGCCUUCUCCCCGGAGCAGAGGGAAGUAAUGUUAUAGAGACAGCACGUUUCCCAUAUUAUGACUUUAAGAAGAGCUUUAUACCGACUCUUGAGUUUUCAUAGUUAGCUUACCUUUUCUGAUUCUUCUUGACUUGGAUAAUAUGUAAAAUAGUUACCAAAAUGAGCCCCUUCUGACUUGAAAACCGAUCCGUCUCCAGGAAAAAUCUCUAUUGAGUUUACAUUUUUAUGGGUAAGCCUAAGGUAGAGAAAUAAACGUUUGUUUUC
ensembl:processed_transcript Gm9752 predicted gene 9752